rnacentral:rRNA from 1 species
AGCUUUCGGAAGGUUAGAAGGUGGUCUUCGUUGAGUGGGGGCAGUGCACAGGGCGACAAGGCCUUGAGCUAUGGGGGUCGCGCGGCAGCGGCCUCUGCUAGUCUGCUGUGUCGGCGGUCCGGUUUACCGCGGGUUCUUCUUCGUCGGCCAGAGCUUCGUCUUCGUGUUCGGGUUCGGGAGACGCGGGAGGAGGAGGAGUAGGCGGCGCGGCGCGGAGCUCUAGAGCAGCCUCUUGCUUGCGGCGGAGGCUGUUGAGGAGGAGUUGAGGAGGUGUCGGCCACGGGGGAAGGGGCGCGGGGAUCUACGAGGUCCCCGCGCACGGCUUAGCUCCCUCGUCUUCCCCGCCGCAGACGCGCCCCAGAUGCUGUUCGACCGGGACCUCCCGAAGAGAAGGAGCGUUUAGCUCGUCCGAGAGAGGCGAUAUGGUCUAAGCCGCUGCAAACUCAGCCACGACCUAACCGACACGAAAUUAGACGGGCCGCUGCUCGAGGGGGAGUUCAAGCGCUCGCGGCGGCGGAGGAGAAGAGCACGUCCUUGUCUCCCAAGUCAAUUCCAUCAUAGUCGUCGCUUCCUAUUAACCCACGGAGUCUCAGCACCCGGACACCUCCUCCGUUUCCAAUCGUGACUCCCCAACCUUUAAUUUUAACCCUCUGCCGUUCUUCUCCUGCAGUGCAACCUGCUACCCGCCAGUAGCGUUCGACGUACCUAGAACGUCAUGUACCUUGUCGUUCUCCUCCUCCUCCUACGUUUAAGAUUACUAAGGAGGUGUACCCUUCUAGCAAAUCGUCGUUCAAAACUUCAACGACUUUGUUUCGGUUCAUCCUCUUUCUUUUUCCCAUUUUUCCUCUUGAGGUUUUUACCUUUGAGUUUCCUUUUAUAUUCGGUUAGACAUAGAGGACACAACGGAUUAAGCCUUUAACGUUCACAACUCCUACCAGUCUAACUGGACCCACGUUCACUCUUGUUUAGAGGGUCAGAACAGGUAUAACUACUUCCUAGGUUAAAUGUCUUCCUUCAAGGAUUUUUACGGCCACUUUGAACGUGUUUCCUCCAACUUCUUCUCCUUCAUCUCGAACUAUUGAACAAAAAACUUCUGAGCAGGCGAACCCUCCAACACCGGGGACUUUAGAACUUUGUCGUUGUUUAUCUCUUUAACAGUGUACUGCCAAUACCGGUAGAAGAACCCUUGUAUCUACUACAUACCUUUUUCCCUCUAACACCAUUUUACGGUUUUCGAUAAGAUGUCUUCAAGACAGUUUUUGAACCAACCCUACGUGGCUUCAUAUCAUUUUGUAGUCUUUUCCUACCAUUUAAAUAUAUACGACAAUUACAUAACGCACCAAGAUGACCGGCACCAUUUUCAGCCUUCCGACCUCCAAACUGCUUUUAACUCAAUGGACUCUUUCUACUUCUUAUGCAUAGACAAGUCCUUCGUGUUUCAUCUCACCGCUGUAAACGAGAUAUAGUUGACAAACGACUAGAAGGUGAUGCAGUUAACGAAUAACUUGGUAUGAGUAGUGAACAAAAUUCUACCGUUCUUCCACUUAAUCUUAAAAGUAGUUGUAGUUCCCACGACCUAUGGCUCCUAUCAGCUUCUCGACCCAAACACCUAUACAAUAACCUAUACCUGCGUGUAUUAUGAGAAGGUAUAGUUUAGUCUCCACGAGGACUCCCGUCCCGUAGGUAACUGAGAGGCUUACUAUUCCUCUGGUUAAGACAGAUACUCUUCUUUCUCCGUUGAAACGACUUGGCACGUCCUAGUUCUGGUCUCGUUCGUCUCUCGUGUCGAAACUUUUUCGUCAACCUUGUGUUUUCCUUCAACGGGUUCAUAGACUUUUACGACCCUCGUUCUCGAAGAAAUGGUUAGCGAUCUGACUUUUUGGUAAAGGAUGUCAAUGACUUUCUCUUACUACAUUAACAACAGUCGCCUCUUUGACCUACGCCCUUUUGUUGAGUCCACGGUGUCAAAUAAAACCUACUAUACUAACUCAGACUCGAACCACCAUUAACGUUGUAACAAACGUGUGUUGGAUCCUCCUAUCGCCGGUAAAGUCAUCGUCUUUCUCACAGACUACUUUCCACACUUAGAAGUGGACCGAGAUUUCUAAGGAACCAACCUAUAGUUCAAGCAGAGCUGUCACGAGCCUUACUCUCUUGUUUCGAAGACAAGACAUGUUGACCAUAGGAAGACUCUUUCAAUAGACCUUUGUUUCUGAAUUCACUACAAUGAGUACAACAUCAUCUACUUCAUGUACUUGCGUGAUAAAACUCGCUGAAAAACGACUAACAAGAAUUCUCAGAACAACUUUUUGCGAGAUUAGUUGGUCCUUCUUUCGACUUUCACUAAGAGUACAGACGUUGACAACUAAGUUCGGAUAAGCGUGCUAUGAAACCUCUAACGGGACACUAAUCACAACUUCCUUCUUGUGUGGGUCAAAGUUGAGUGAAGGAACUUCUACAAAUACUCUUUUACCUCAUGACAGAACGAAACCUAAGAGGACGUAGUCCUCGUAUGAAGCGUGUCGUACCUCUUUUCACCUUCGUACGAUCAUCGAGUCACUUAUUGGCCUCUCCUUACUUCUUGGAACAGUACAGGAGUACCCCCCUGCUCAGUUACGAAAGACUUUUAAUACAAUUAGGAGUGAUAUCGAGGCUAACGAUAGUCAGUAUGUCACUUUCCUGGUUGGACUUAGAUUUUGCGAAUUUGCUUCUACAGUAACUAAAACUAGACGACCUUCUGAAUUAUACGAUAUAACUGCUCUUGACGGGGAGUCCGCGACAAGAUCAUAAAGAAGGACCUCAACGUCUCUAGCUUUACGACUAACUAUCUAAUAGACGAAGUCAAUCUAAGUUUCCCCGUAGUAGACUAACCUAGGAAGGAAACGUAAGUUACGAAAGUGGGUGACUAGUUUCCUUCCACAAGGUCAGAGGUGGUCUUUUGUAAGCGUUCCAAUAAGAACGGUGCCUGUAUCGUCUCUGAUCGUAAUGUUAACUACUACAACAUAUACAUCAACUAUGACCUUUUGUGUUUCUCUUAGCAAUAUUGGGCGUCUUCUUUUACAGUUCGUAUCAUCUUCUAACCUAAAGAGCACGUUUACGUUUUGUCUCUGCCCCUGCUCGACCAGCACACUCCGGACCCAACACAAAGACGGAAAUAUGAGUGGUAGCAAAACUUUUUGACUACGCCGGCAAAGUCCACGGACUCUACGACGCCUACGGUAACUGACUCGACACAAACGUUUAUUUUAGUGAAGUAGACCCACUGUAUUUUAGUAAGGAUGAUUUCCGACAUCUCGGGGGUUUUCUUCUUCGAUAGAGGAGACGUUAACUGAACAAUAAAUUCCAACCUCGGAAACUUCCUGUACUUCUCAAUAGUGGAGAACCGAUAGUAAAUCGUUUUGAUGGGCAACUACAAAACUAACCGUUCUACUACGAGAUACCCCGAUAGAAACCGACGAAUAGUGGUCAAGAAAGACAACGACGAAAAGACUCAAUAUUUAGGGGAAAGUAGAGAGGUUUUCUACUCUUCGUUUUACAUCUCUUUCGUUUCCGACGUAACAACUUACUUUUAGAACUACCCAGAUGAAGAUAUUAUCUAUUGUUUGUUAGUCUAGUAAACAAUUACCAAUAACGUAUGUUGUUCACCAGGGCCUAUGACGUUCUCGUACCUCGAUCUAGACGAGUAGUCAAAACGGCAAGUAAGAUGAACUUGUCAUGUCACUACAUAUACUAGUCCCUGUACGCAGAUGUCAUACCGAGUAAUAAUCGUCUGUAACCUGAACACCUAGAAGGAUUUCUAUUAGACUUAGUUUACUUACCCUUAUCUUUUUCGUUAGAACUCUCAACCAAACGGUUAUAUAGAGAAGGCAAGUUGAAUAUACGACCGAUAUGGAGUCAAUAGUUCAGCCAGUAUUCACGUCCAGAUAUGGGAUUACAACGUCGUUGAGACCUCCCACAACUAGGUCCUCGAAACCCACCGUCUUUCGGUAGACUACAAGACAAACCAUUCCUAGCAGGAGCUACCAUACUACCUUCCGCUCUUCAAGUAUAUGUGGGUAGCAGACACUUAGUGUCGAACUUCAGUCACGUUAUGGGUAAAGACCACAAGGAACUUUUCCAACUCUGAUCAUUCCACAAAGAUGCACUAUGGUCACAGUAAAGGGGGAUGAGUGAGGAANNNNNNNNNNNNNNNNNNNNNNNNNNNNNGGUCCGACCUCACCAAUAAUAUCUGCCUACCGAUUCCAAUUGACGACGACGUGUCUGACGACAAAAUAAGUUCGUUGAAGCGUAAUGUGAACUACGACAAGACUUUCUUAACUGUUCUUUCGGCCUCUACCGUUGAAAACAACUGUUGCUUCACCAGUCUAGGUAGUAAGUAAACGACAACCUUCUUCUCUUCCGGGUUGUUCGUACUUAACACCAGUUACUUAAUGACAUGUCUAUUACCACCUUGACACCGCCUUAAUUGAACUCUUGAACAGGAGUCUAGUCGACGACCGGAAAAACCUCGUGUACUCGAAAGACAAUAUGGCCCGGAAGUACGAUGUACUACUUACGAUAGUUCAUCGCUUCCAACUAAGAGUCCCGAGCGGACGCCAGAAAAUGACACAACCACUGACUGCUACCUCUUCAAAGUCUCACUGGCCUAAAGUAACCGAACUGAAGAAAUGUCUUGUUUUCACAUACUAAAUGAGUAUAGUGUUACGAAUAUACGAUGUCACUUCUAUUAACGUAACUUUACUU